CACGUAGGGCGCGAGCGUUGUCCGGAAUUAUUGGGCGUAAAGAGCUCGUAGGCGGCCUGUUGCGUCCGCUGUGAAAACCCGGGGCUCAACCCCGGGCCUGCAUUCGAUACGGGCAGACUAGAGUUCGGUAGGGGAGUCUGGAAUUCCUGGUGUAGCGGUGAAAUGCGCAGAUAUCAGGAGGAACACCGGUGGCGAAGGCGGGACUCUGGGCCGAUACUGACGCUGAGGAGCGAAAGCGUGGGGAGCAAACAGG
rnacentral:rRNA from 1 species